rnacentral:lncRNA from 10 species
GCGAAACUCGGCGGCUGAGCGUGGAGGUGGGAGAAUCACUUGACCCCAGAAGGUUGAGGUUGCAGUGAGCUGUGAUUACACCACUCCACUCUAGCCUGGGUGACAGAGCGAGACCCUGUCUCAAAAAGGAAAACAAAAAAGAUUCUACUGAGGGGGAGAGGGUACUGAGCUUGGGCCCCUCAUAGUAACCUGGGUGGAAGGUUUUGAGAUCUUUGAUUAGGGUUCUAACCUGGGCUUGCAUAUCCUGAAAUUGCAUGCAGAUGUUCUGAGGAGAGCGGAUCUGUAGCUUCUGUUAACUUCAUUAGUGGCAACAGAGUAUGUAGGGGUCAGGCUCUUGCUCCCUGGGCAAGUUAUGUGACUUUGUCAAGCUUCAGUUUCCUCAUCAGUAAAAUGGGGAUAAGGACAGUCCUUAAUCUCUCAGAGGGCUGCUUGAAAAUGCAUGUGGUGUUUAGCACAAUUCCUUCAUGCAGAUUACGUAAUCAGGAUGUAUGAUUUUCCAAGCAGUUCAUGAAUCCUGAAAACUUACGAAGUGGGUAUGGGAAGAGGGGAGUUGGAGG